rfam:Pedobacter glucosidilyticus strain DD6b PBAC_contig000017, whole genome shotgun sequence.
AAAAAGUGGAGACAAGAAAGUCACUAAUAAAAACAGGGGGUAUUCCGAAAAUCCAUAAUAGUAGGUUAAAU